GAUGAACGCUGGCGGUAUGUUUAACACAUGCAAGUCGAACGGUUAAUACCGUGACGGACGGGUGAGUAACGCGUAGGUUAUCUACGUUUAGGAGAGGGAUAACAAGUGGAAACGCUUGAUAAUACCUCGUAAUCUCCUUUGGAGUGAAAGAUUUAUUGCCUGAACAUGAGCUUGCGUCCGAUUAGCUAGUUGGUGAGGUAAUGGCUCACAAAGGCUUCGAUCGGUAGCUGUUUUGAGAAGAAGGACAGCCACACUGGAAUUGAGAUACGGAACAGACUCCUACGGGAGGCAGCAGUGGGGAAUAUUUGGCAAUGAGCGAAAGCUUGACCAAGCAAUACCGCGUGGGGGAUGAAGGCCUUUGGGUUGUAAUCUCCUUUUCUCAUUGACGAAAUACUGACGGUAUUUGAGGAAUAAGCAUCGGCUAAUUCUGUGCCAGCAGCCGCCGUAACAC
rnacentral:rRNA from 1 species